UAUUUGAGCAGUCUCAGCGCUCAGGAAGGGCUUUCUCUCUUCCUAAAGGGACUUCUGUGAGAAAUUUGGGGCAGAGUCUCAGAGACUCUGCCAGUUGAUCCCGUGGGCUAGGAAAGACAUCAAUUCCUCAGAUAAGGACAUAAGCUCUUAGCUUACUGUUUCAGUGCCAUGCCUGCUGAUCUGCUGUCAUGCUCCCCAACUUUGAUUCAUGGAUCCACUCUCUGAAACUAUGACCAGAUGUCUCUCCUGCACACUGUCACCACAUGCCUGGCUUUGCCACAGCCCUCAAAUAAAAAAGCCAACUGAGUAUAGACUGAAACUUUCAAAACAGUAAGUA